AGCGGCAGGCUUAACACAUGCAAGUCGAGGGCAGCACGGGUAGCAAUACCUGGUGGCGACCGGCGCAAGGGUGCGUAACGCGUGAGCAACAUGCCCUAUACAGGGGGAUAAUCCAGGGAAACUUGGUCUAAUAUCCCAUAGUAUUUAGAGGAGGCAUCUUCUAUAAAUUAAAGCUUCGGUGGUAUAGGAUUGGCUCGCGUGACAUUAGCUAGAUGGUGAGGUAACGGCUCACCAUGGCAAUGAUGUCUAGGGGUUCUGAGAGGAAGGCCCCCCACACUGGGACUGAGACACGGCCCAGACUCCUACGGGAGGCAGCAGUGAGGAAUAUUGGACAAUGGAUGGAAAUCUGAUCCAGCCAUGCCGCGUGCAGGAAGACAGCCCUAUGGGUUGUAAACUGCUUUUAUAUGGGAGCAAUAAGGUCUACGUGUAGACUGAUGAGAGUACCAUAUGAAUAAGCAUCGGCUAACUCCGUG
rnacentral:rRNA from 1 species